rnacentral:rRNA from 1 species
GCAUGCGCGUGGGGUGCGGCGGGGGGAAAGCGUGGUGGGAGGGCGUUGUCCGGGGUUAUUGGGGGGAAAGAGUGCGGAGGCGGUUCGGUAAGGCGGGUGUGAAAGCUCCACGCGCAACGGGGAGGGGCCACUCGAUACUGCCGUGACUCGAGGCCGGUAGAGGAGUGUGGAAUUCCCGGUGUAGCGGUGAAAUGCGCAGAUAUCGGGAGGAACACCAGUAGCGAAGGCGGCACUCUGGGCCGGUACUGACGCUGGGAGCGAAAGCGUGGGGAGCAAACAGGAUUAGAUACCCGUGUAGUC